rnacentral:lncRNA from 1 species
CUUGAAAAAUAAAAAUCUAAAAAUAAAAAAUAAAAUAUUAAUCAAAGAAGAAGAAUAAAUAUUUCAAAACAACAAUAAAUUAAAGGAGGAGAAUGAAAUCUCAAAGAAGGAAGUGGAAAAACUAAAAUUUUUAAUAGAAAGAUUCACAUAUAGUUUAGAUAAGCUAUAAAUGAUAUUAAACAAUUAAAGGAGAAUCUAUGAUAAGGCUAGUUUAGGAUAUAAACCAAACAAUAAAUAAAAUUUUUUUAAAAACUUCUUCUCUACAUCAUCAUCCACUUAUAACACUUCUCACGUAACAUAUUUUAGCUGUGGAAAAAUAGGACACAAGGCAUUUGCAUGUAAUUCAAGAAAAAUCGAUGGCAAAACAAUGAAGAAAAUUUGAAUUAUAAAGGGAAUCAUAGUUACUAAUUAUAAAGGACUUAAGAAAAUUUGGGUAUCUAAGAAAGCUACUUGAUUUUCAUGCAAGAAUAUCUUGCAGUCUGUUGGUACCGAAUUCCGUCGAUAUCGGAGAAGCUGGAGUCGAGGGGAUCGCGGCCAC